GAUGAACGCUAGCGGCAGGCCUAACACAUGCAAGUCGAGGGGCAGCACAUAAAGUGGUUUACUACUUUUGGUGGCGACCGGCGGACGGGUGCGUAACGCGUAUGCAACCUGCCUCCAACAGGGGGAUAACGGAGAGAAAUUUCCACUAAUACCCCAUAAUAUCAGAAUCGGCAUCGGUUUUGGUUGAAAACUCCGGUGGUUGGAGAUGGGCAUGCGUUGUAUUAGAUAGUUGGUGAGGUAACGGCUCACCAAGUCAACGAUACAUAGGGGGACUGAGAGGUUAGCCCCCCACACUGGUACUGAGACACGGACCAGACUCCUACGGGAGGCAGCAGUGAGGAAUAUUGGUCAAUGGGGGCAACCCUGAACCAGCCAUGCCGCGUGCAGGAAGACGGCUCUAUGAGUUGUAAACUGCUUUUACAAAGGGGAUAAAUCGGUGUACGUGUACACCGUUGAAGGUACCUUGGGAAUAAGGAUCGGCUAACUCCGUGCCAGCCGCCGCGGUAA
rnacentral:rRNA from 1 species